GGUUCCAUGGUGUAGCAGUUAGCAUGUCUGCUUUACAUGCAGAAGGUCCUGGGUUUGUGCCCCAGUUAAGCCA
rnacentral:tRNA from 1 species